rnacentral:rRNA from 1 species
AGCAGCCGCCACGGUAAUACGUAGGUGGCAAGCGUUGUCCGGAAUUAUUGGGCGUAAAGGGCUCGCAGGCGGUUUCUUAAGUCUGAUGUGAAAGCCCCCGGCUCAACCGGGGAGGGUCAUUGGAAACUGGGAAACUUGAGUGCAGAAGAGGAGAGUGGAAUUCCACGUGUAGCGGUGAAAUGCGUAGAGAUGUGGAGGAACACCAGUGGCGAAGGCGACUCUCUGGUCUGUAACUGACGCUGAGGAGCGAAAGCGUGGGGAGCGAACAGGAUUAGAUACCCCUGUAGUCCCUGUCUCUUAUAA